rnacentral:rRNA from 1 species
ACUACAUGAAGCUGGAAUCGCUAGUAAUCGCGGAUCAGAAUGCCGCGGUGAAUACGUUCCCGGGUCUUGUACACACCGCCCGUCACACCAUGGGAGUCGGAAAUGCCCGAAGUCUGUGACCCAACCUGAGAGGGAGGGAGCAGCCGAAGGCAGGUCUAAUGACUGGGGUGAAGUCGUAACAAGGUAUC